GCUAAUACCAGAUAACAUGUUGAACCGCAUGGUUCAACAGUGAAAGACGGUCUUGCUGUCACUUAUAGAUGGAUCCGCGCCGCAUUAGCUAGUUGGUAAGGUAACGGCUUACCAAGGCAACGAUGCGUAGCCGACCUGAGAGGGUGAUCGGCCACACUGGAACUGAGACACGGUCCAG
rnacentral:rRNA from 1 species